AUCACUCAGUGGGAGGAGAGCAAUUGAAUCACUUAUUUUGUAUAUGUGCUAUUAUCUUUAUUACUGUUUUUAUUAUAAUUUUAUCUUCCUUUUCUGUCCUAUAAAGCUAUCUUAACAUAUGAGUUUUAAUUUUAUCCAGUUCUCUCUUUCCCCAUCCCGCCUUUGACAGGAGGAAUGAGCAGUGGCUGUGUGGUGCUUAGCUGCCUCCCAGCUUACACCAGAACAUCCACCUGAAUUAUUUUUGGCCACUGAACACACACACACACACACACACACACACACACACACACACACACACACAAAGGAUAAAUCUUGCUUAAAUAAAAAGUCCCAUCCAAAUUCCUGUCACCCUGACAUUAGUGGGACUUGCAUUAGACCACUACAGUUAUUCUGUAGUUUCUGCCAGUACCAUUGAAGCUUUUUCUUUUUUCUUUUUUUGGUGGAGGAUUAUUUUUACAUAAGAUGGCCUUUCUUAUGUGGAGAACUGCAGCAGCACAUCAAGAACAGUGGAUGCGUUCACAAUACUGAAUGAAAUCAGUCUAUAUUUAUAAAGGGAAGUGCACGAGAAGUGCAGCUAUAGGAGGAUCUGCUCUGAUUAUAUCUCAGAAGAACAGAUUGAAUUCCAAUUGAAACCUUCAAUAAGGCCUGAGUUAUAGGCAAGAUUAUGAAAUCUCUGGUAUUCUACAUGCUCAGAACAAAAUCUCCAACAUGCCCACUUCAAUAGCUUGCGCAAAAUUAAACGAACAAAAACAUAACACUGGAUUUUGAAGGAUGUCCUUCUACAAAUUUCCACCACAAACCUUGUGUUUGAGUUCAGACUGUAAAAAACAUAUAUGAAAUGACAACAAACGUCUUUUUAGUAUGGAAACGUGCUCAUUUUAAGCAGUUGGAAAUACAUGAAAAAAAUCAUGAAAGUAACUGAAAUACCUGCCAUUGCUCCCUUCCUAAAAAUCUAAGCCAAAAUGAUUGUACUGGAGUAUUUAAUUUGCUAAGGGAAAAAAAUAAAAGAGAAAAAAGUGUGUUGAACUUAGAUUUACAUACUGUAGCUGCUUGCUUGAUCUCCUCUAGAGAUCACAGCUUGAGUUCUUCCAUGAAAAAUGUUCUCUCCACCACGUCUGACAGUCUAAACCUGGCAACACUCUACCUGCUGAGUACAACCCUCCAGGUAUGCAGAAGAUAGAAGGAUAAGUCCUCAGCAGGUCUUUUUAUUGUUUAUUUUUGUAG
ensembl:lncRNA